AGGGAAUCUUCCGCAAUGGACGAAAGUCUGACGGAGCAACGCCGCGUGAGUGAUGAAGGCCUUCGGGUCGUAAAACUCUGUUGUUAGGGAAGAACAAGUAUCGGAGUAACUGCCGGUACCUUGACGGUACCUAACCAGAAAGCCACGGCUAACUACGUGCCAGCAGCCGCGGUAAUACGUAGGUGGCAAGCGUUGUCCGGAAUUAUUGGGCGUAAAGCGCGCGCAGGCGGCUGUUUAAGUCUGGUGUUUAAUCCUGGGGCUCAACCCCGGGUCGCACUGGAAACUGGACGGCUUGAGUGCAGAAGAGGAGAGUGGAAUUCCACGUGUAGCGGUGAAAUGCGUAGAGAUGUGGAGGAACACCAGUGGCGAAGGCGGCUUUCUGGUCUGUAACUGACGCUGAGGCGCGAAAGCGUGGGGAGCAAAC
rnacentral:rRNA from 1 species